rnacentral:tRNA from 1 species
GAAAAAGCAUGCAAGAACUGCUAAUUCUAUGCUCCCGUGUUUAACAACACGGCUUUUUCG